rnacentral:rRNA from 1 species
GACGAACGCUGGCGGCGUGCCUAAUACAUGCAAGUCGAACGCAGUGGGGACGGGUGAGUAACACGUGGGUAACCUCCCAUCAGAGGGGAUAACACUUGGAAACAGGUGCUAAACCGAUACUGAUGGAUGGACCCGCGGUGCAUUAGCUAGAUGGGAGGGUAAAGGCUCACCAAGGCCACGAUCCAUAGCCGACCUGGGAGGGUGAUCGGCCACACUGGAACUGAGACACGGCCCAGACUCCUACGGUAGGCAGCAGUGGGGAAUCUUCGGCAAUGGACGAAAGUCUGACCGAGCAAUGCCGCGUGAGUGAAGAAGGUUUUCGGAUCGUAAAGCUCUGUUAGUAGAGAAGCGGUAUCUAACCAGAAAGCCACGGCUAACUACGUGCCAGCAGCCGCGGUAAUUC